rnacentral:rRNA from 1 species
UACGUAGGUGGCAAGCGUUGUCCGGAUUUACUGGGCGUAAAGAGCGCGCAGGCGGUCGUUCAAGUCGCGUGUGAAAGCCCCCGGCUCAACUGGGGAGGGUCACGCGAUACUGAUCGACUCGAAGGCAGGAGAGGGAAGUGGAAUUCCCGGUGUAGUGGUGAAAUGCGUAGAUAUCGGGAGGAACACCAGUGGCGAAGGCGACGUCCUGGCCUGUUCUUGACGCUGAGGCGCGAAAGCUAGGGGAGCAAACGGG